rnacentral:ribozyme from 11 species
UUGCGUUUCUUUCGUUUCCUUCUUUUCUUUCUCUCAUCUUGCCUUUGUCCUUCUUCGUUUUGCGCGUUACAGAUACAAACAGACACACAG